rnacentral:rRNA from 1 species
AGUGAACGUUGGCGGCGUGGAUUAGGCAUGCAAGUCGAGCGAGAACCGUAGCAAUACGGGGACAGCGGCGAAAGGGACAGUAAUGUGUAGGUACCUACCCCGAGGUAUGGGAUAGCUGCGGGAAACUGCAGGUAAUACCGGAUAAUGUCUUCGGACCAAAGGUGUGAUUCCACCUUGGGAGGGGCCUGCAUCCUAUUAGCUAGUUGGCGGGGUAAUGGCCCACCAAGGCAACGAUGGGUAGCGGGUGUGAGAGCACGACCCGCGUCAUUGGGACUGAGACACAGCCCAGACACCUACGGGUGGCUGCAGUCGAGGAUCUUCGGCAAUGGGCGCAAGCCUGACCGAGCGACGCCGCGUGCGGGAUGAAGGCCUUCGGGUUGUAAACCGCUGUCGUAGAGGAGGAAAUGCAGGGGGGUUCUCCCCACUGUUUGACCUAUUCUAGGAGGAAGGACGGGCUAAGUUCGUGCCAGCCGCCGCCGUAA